rnacentral:lncRNA from 10 species
AAAUUAUCAGCCAGUCUGCUCUGCUCAGCUCAGCUUUGUUCAGAAAACAUGUACUGAGAAGCUGUUUUAAGCUCCACAUUCACAUAGACCAUGCUUUGCAGAAGCUCGGAGUCCAUAGGGGCUGCAGACCCACAAAGGGAUCACCAUGGUACAAUGUGCAGAAAAAAGCAGAGCUCUCCUCCAAGACACUAUGGCCAACUGAAGCCCAAAGCCAGCUGAGAGGGGAGUCUGGGAACUGCAGGGUGCAUCAUCAACCCAGUGAAAUGCAGACCAGAGCAGAGGAAGGCCAGGAUCUGCACAGCUCAUUCGCUUUUUAUGGACUUACUUUCCAAGGAAGAAGGUGUGAAACUGUAUAACCCCAUCUCUGAUAAAGAUUGAUGAAGGGAGAGAGAGGAGGAGAGAGGCUGGAAGGUGAGAGUCUAAAUCCACAAGUGAAGGAAUGCAACAUGGGAAGUGUCUCAAAGAACAUCUCCAGAGGGACAGGAUGCUCAGUGGAGUGGGCUGACCUCUCCCCGCUGGUGCCCAGGGCUCUCUCUUCACUGCGGUUCCUAAUGUGGCUGCUUCAUUGACUGUGUGGAGGGAGAACAGGAUGCUGAGAUGACCAGAGGGCGAGUCAAACUUGCAAACCUCUAAAGGAACGUCCAAGCUCCCCAGCCAUUCAUCCAUUCAUCUGCCUAUUCAAUGAUUUGUUCAUUCUUUCCUCCAGAUUAUAGUCCCUUAGACACCAAACGUCUUUAAAGGUAUCCCUGGUAUUUCUUAUGGCUCCUUGAUAUGGUUUUGCUGUGUCCCCACCCAAAUCUCAUCUUGAAUUUCCACAUGUUGUGAGAGGGACCCAGUGGGAGGUAACUGAAUCAUGGGUGCAAGUCUUUCUCAUGCUGUUCUCAUGAUAGUGAAUAAGUCUCAUGAGAUCUGAUGGUAAUAUAAGGGGGAGUUUCCCUGCUCAAGCUCUCUCUUUGCCUGCUGCCAUCCAUGUAAGAUGUGACUUGCUUCUCCUUGUGUUCUGCCAUGAUUGUGAGGCCUCCUCAGCCAUAUGGAGCUGUGAGUCCAAUUAAACCUCUUUCUUUUGUAAAUUUCCCAGUCUCAAAUAUGUCUUUAUCAGCAGCAUGAAAACGGACUAAUACACUCCUCUUAAACCCUUAGCUAUGUAAUUUUUGUUGUCCCCUCUCUGAGCCACCAUUUAUGCCGUUUGCUUAACUUCUGU